UACGGUAGGGGGCUAGCGUUGUCCGGAAUCGAUUGGGCGUAAAGCGCGCGUAGGCGGCCCGGUAAGUCCGCUGUGAAAGUCCAGGGCUCAACCCUGGAAAGCCGGUGGAUACUGCCGGGCUAGAGUCCGGGAGAGGCGAGUGGAAUUCCUGGUGUAGCGGUGGAAUGCGCAGAUAUCAGGAGGAACACCAUAGUCGGAAGGCAGCUCGCUGGGACGGUAUGACGCU
rnacentral:rRNA from 1 species